rnacentral:rRNA from 1 species
UGGGGAAUAUUGCGCAAUGGGCGAAAGCCUGACGCAGCAACGCCGCGUGAGGGAUGAAGGCCUUCGGGUUGUAAACCUCUUUCAGCAGGGAAGAAGCGAAAGUGACGGUACCUGCAGAAGAAGCACCGGCUAACUACGUGCCAGCAGCCGCGGUAAUACGUAGGGUGCAAGCGUUGUCCGGAUUUAUUGGGCGUAAAGAGCUCGUAGGCGGUUUGUUACGUCGGAUGUGAAAUCCUGGAGCUUAACUCCGGGCCUGCAUUCGAUACGGGCAGACUCGAGUGUUGUAGGGGAGACUGGAACUCCUGGUGUAGCGGUGAAAUGCGCAGAUAUCAGGAAGAACACCGAUGGCGAAGGCAGGUCUCUGGGCAACUACUGACGCUGAGGAGCGAAAGCGUGGGGAGCAAACAG